GCCGAGGUGGUGGAAUAGGCAGACACGGCAUCUUGAGGGGGUGGUGGGCGAAAGCCCGUGGGAGUUCAAAUCUCCCCCUCGGCACCA
rnacentral:tRNA from 1 species